GACGAACGCUGGCGGCGUGCCUAACACAUGCAAGUCGAGCGAAUGAAGUUCCUUCGGGAACGGAUUUAGCGGCGGACGGGUGAGUAACACGUGGGCAACCUGCCUCAUAGAGGGGAAUAGCCUUCCGAAAGGGAGAUUAAUACCGCAUAAGAUUGUAGUACCGCAUGGUACAGCAAUUAAAGGAGCAAUCCGCUAUGAGAUGGGCCCGCGGCGCAUUAGCUAGUUGGUGAGGUAACGGCUCACCAAGGCGACGAUGCGUAGCCGACCUGAGAGGGUGAUCGGCCACAUUGGGACUGAGACACGGCCCAGACUCCUACGGGAGGCAGCAGUGGGGAAUAUUGCACAAUGGGGGAAACCCUGAUGCAGCAACGCCGCGUGAGUGAUGACGGCCUUCGGGUUGUAAAGCUCUGUCCUAGGGGAAGAUAAUGACAGUACCCUUGGAGGAAGCCCCGGCUAAAUACGUGCCAGCCGCCGCCGUAA
rnacentral:rRNA from 1 species